UCACGCAAUGGAAUUCCGUGCAGCCGCCAUCUUUGUGCGGGGCAAGUCCCCCAAGCCAAGAGCCGGAAGCCUGGAGCCGGCAGAGAGCAGGGGCUGGCGCUUUGCUCUGGGUCUCGGGCAGGUCCCCGCUCCCAGGGGCCGGGACCCCCGUAGUUGGCAGGAACGUCCUGAAGGCAAGACGGGCUGAGCCUAGCAGGUGCCUGGGCAGCACCCUGCGGCGGGGGAGCUCUUCCCCGGAAGGGGUGUGUGUGAAAGGACUUGAGGGUACCCCACAGGAAGGAAUUCCCAAGUGCACCUUCCUGGGUUCUCAAAGGGUUCUGCACUUGGGUGGUGGCAGCAUCUACCACUCCAAGGUCAGAGAAAAGCUGUAAUCUUGGGAGGUUAAUACAAGCCUGGAGUGUCCAGAGUGGGGAAUUAGCCUUGACACCUUCAUCUGCAGACAGAUUAAAAGAGCAACCGAGCAGCAGCCAUUAGCUGAGAAGCAGAAGUCACAUCUUCACAUUCCAUCUAAAUUACAUUAAAACAAUGUAACAUCAGGCUGUUAAGAAGGAGAUCCUGUCCUAAUAGCAUCCACUAUCACCAGAUUAAAAAAACAGAUCUUAAGAUGGUUAAGGAAAACUUAGUUUGAUAGCAUCCUGUCUGGCAAGAAAUCAUUUAUCAAUAGCUGUGGAUGCAAAAUCCUCAUUUCUUUAUUGUUUUGUUAUUAUAGUCCUCACUUCCCUAAUUGUUUAUCUGUAUAGUCUCUGUCCGGUUCUUUAAUUGUUUCUGUCUGUUACAUAAUUAAUGUUGUUAGGUGUAAAUUAAUGAAGGUGGUAGGAUAGGAUUGGUUAGAGAAUUUUGCUACACUGUGUUAGGCUUGGUUAGUAAAAUUUUAGUAUAAUGAUUGGUUAAGGUAUAGCUAAAAAAGGACUAAAAUUUCAUUCUAUAAACUGGGGUCCAAAAGGAAAUUCUUUGGGAACUAACUCCAGGACAUAGCCCCAAAGAUCAGAGCUGCCAGACCUCAACACUCUGCCAAUGACACCCUGCAGAAACUGGAAUCCCCCAGAUGGACCUGAUCCUGCCUGGUUGUCACAAGUUCACCUGUCUUAUUGGGAGUGGUGAGCACUGUAUGUGUGGCAUGUGCAGUCUGUUUUUGGUAAUUAAUAAAUAGAAGGUAUGUAGUAUA